GAUGAACGCUGGCGGCGUGCCUAAUACAUGCAAGUCGAGCGAACAGACGAGGAGCUUGCUCCUCUGACGUUAGCGGCGGACGGGUGAGUAACACGUGGAUAACCUACCUAUAAGACUGGGAUAACUUCGGGAAACCGGAGCUAAUACCGGAUAAUAUAUUGAACCGCAUGGUUCAAUAGUUAAAGACGGUUUUGCUGUCACUUAUAGAUGGAUCCGCGCCGGAUUAGCUAGUUGGUAAGGUAACGGCUUACCAAGGCAACGAUGCGUAGCCGACCUGAGAGGGUGAUCGGCCACACUGGAACUGAGACACGGUCCAGACUCCUACGGGAGGCAGCAGUAGGGAAUCUUCCGCAAUGGGCGAAAGCCUGACGGAGCAACGCCGCGUGAGUGAUGAAGGUCUUCGGAUCGUAAAACUCUGUUAUUAGGGAAGAACAAAUGUGUAAGUAACUAUGCACGUCUUGACGGUACCUAAUCAGAAAGCCACGGCUAACUACGUG
rnacentral:rRNA from 1 species